ensembl:snRNA U6 U6 spliceosomal RNA
GUGCUUGCUUUGGUAGCACAUAUACUAAAAUUGGAACAAUACAGGGCAGAUUAGCAUGGACCCUGCGCAAGGAUGAUAUAGUUGCUCAGAUCGCAUAUAUAAGUAUAG